UACGUAGGGGUGACACGUUGUCCGGAUUUAUUGGGCGUAAAGAGCGUGUAGGCGGCCAGAUAGGUCUGCUGUGAAAACUCGAGGCUCAACCUCGAGAUGUCGGCGGAAACCAUUUGGCUAGAGUCCGGAAGAGGAAAGUGGAAUUCCUGGUGUAGCGGUGAAAUGCGCAGAUAUCAGGAAGAACACCCGUGGCGAAGGCGGCUUUCUGGGACGGUACUGACGCUGAGACGCGAAAGCGUGGGGAGCGAACAGG
rnacentral:rRNA from 1 species